CAUCAACCAUGAUGCAAAACUGAGGACAGUUUGCUGUCAAGAAGGGGAGAAUGAUGAGAACAUAACCUGCCCAGAUAUGACCAUGUCAAUGGCUCCUGCUGCGAAGGUGAAACUCUUCCACAUUAAAACUACCAUCGAUAUAUUUGAAGAAUUGAUAUUGCGCCGUAAAGUGUGUAUACUUUUAUUUGUAGAACUUCUUACAUGGAUUAAGCGAGGUGUUAAGGGUGCAAGGAAGGCUUUGAGGAACAAAGAAGUUGAUUGGGGACCAAGUGUUUGGGAGGUGAACCAUCUUGGACUGGAGAAGGCAACAAGGCAAUAAAGGCUGCUGCACCCGAGAGGAUUUCGUAACAGCAUCAAGUACAAGUUUAAAUGGGGCAUAUCUUCCAACUUCCAAGGCCGUUUAAUGCAAAUAAAUACUUGUUGGAAAGCUCCCUUCGUCUACUUGCUGGUGGAUCAAGAAUUAAUGGGAGACUACACCCGAGGCGUCCAGAAACUGCCGAGGGAACUUCAUGACUCCACCAGAAUUCCUUCUUCCUAUUUCUCUAUUUAAGCAACUAGCAGCCACCAAAGAACUUGGGUUUUGUUUGAUGUAAGUUUAGCCUUUGCUACUUCCUUGUAAACGCGUGUGUCGGCUAGACCACCCGAAUACUUGAAACGAGACCCCAACUUUAUCA